rnacentral:rRNA from 1 species
AGUGAACGCUGGCGGUAGGCCUGACACAUGCAAGUCGAACGGCAGCACAGUAAGAGCUUGCUCUUACGGGUGGCGAGUGGCGGACGGGUGAGGAAUACAUCGGAAUCUACUUUUUCGUGGGGGAUAACGUAGGGAAACUUACGCUAAUACCGCAUACGACCUACGGGUGAAAGCAGGGGAUCUUCGGACCUUGCGCGAUUGAAUGAGCCGAUGUCGGAUUAGCUAGUUGGCGGGGUAAAGGCCCACCAAGGCGACGAUCCGUAGCUGGUCUGAGAGGAUGAUCCGCAACAGGGGAGGUGAAACGGGCCCUGGCCCCCGAGGGAGGGCGGCGGGGGGAAAUUUUGAAAAGGGGGGGAAGGCUUGACCCGGCCACCGCGGGGGGGUAAAAAGGCCUUGGGGUUUGAAAACCCUUUUUGUGGGAAAAAAAAAGCAGCGGUUUAAACCCCCGUUGUUUGGAGGGAACCAAAAGAAAAAGCCCCGGCUACCUUCGU